rnacentral:rRNA from 1 species
AUACGAAGGGUGCAAGCGUUAAUCGGAAUUACUGGGCGUAAAGCGCGCGUAGGUGGUUUUGUAAGUUGGAGGUGAAAGCCCCGGGCUCAACCUGGGAAUUGCCUCCAAAACUGCAUGACUAGAGUACGGUAGAGGGUAGUGGAAUUUCCUGUGUAGCGGUGAAAUGCGUAGAUAUAGGAAGGAACACCAGUGGCGAAGGCGACUACCUGGACUGAUACUGACACGGAGGUGCGAAAGCGUGGGGAGCAAACAGGAUUAGAUACCCUGGUAGUCCACGCCGUAAACGAUGUCAACUAGCCGUUGGGAUCCUUGAGAUCUUAGUGGCGCAGCUAACGCAUUAAGUUGACCGCCUGGGGAGUACGGCCGCAAGGUUAAAACUCAAAUGAAUUGACGGGG